UUGUAGCUCAGUGGUAGAGCUCUUGCCUAGCAUGCAUGAGGCCUUGGAUUCAAUUCCAGUAA
rnacentral:tRNA from 1 species